rnacentral:lncRNA from 1 species
AUAUUCAAAGAACUAUUUCUUUAUCAUUAUUUAAUUAUAUUUACAGAACAUACACCAAAAGAAAACAGCUGUUGUAGCCUGUCAGCCGCCGGCCCCUCCAGCAGCCGAAUCAGAGGAGGAGGAGGAGGAGGAAGUGUGGGAGUCAGGGUCGGCAUCAGGGCAACCCGGGAACUGGGGAAGAGGGAAUGGAGCUGGCAGAGAAGAGAGAGAGAGAUAGAGGUGGAGCCUGGGCCAUCCGUCAGCCUUCAGAUGGAGAGUCAACAGCCCCCAGGUCUGAAGGUGGUUGAUGAAGAAGAGGAGGAACAUCUGGGUCCAGUGCCUGACAUUGUUGUGGUUAGCCGACAGCAGAUUUCUCUGCCGAGGGAGCAUGCUCAGUGCUCAUUGUCUUCAGGUGAUCAGGAGACAAGUUACGAUUCACAGAGACAUAGCCCUGCAAAGUCGGGAAUUCCUCUCAGCAGCUUUUAAUUGUGGGGGACAGUGAAGAGGUCCCUGAAAAGGAGCUGGAGACUUCCGGUGACAUGGCAGCAUUGCCAGGCUGGAUGGAGACAUCUGUGGGCCUAUUUCAUCCAUCUUGAAACCAUACUGGUGCUGGAAAGUUGCUCUCUGUGCUGCGGUUGGACACUUGCCUGUUGAUUUUGCUCUUGGGACUCAGGUACUGGAAUCUUUGCAACACUGCCAUUUUUUUAAAAAGAAAAUUGUUUAAUUGUGGGGGCUGCUUCUCACCCAUAAAGCUUUUCAUG